rnacentral:rRNA from 1 species
AUUGAACGCUGGCGGCAGGCCUAACACAUGCAAGUCGAGCGAGCGGCGGACGGGUGAGUAAUGUCUGGGAAACUGCCUGACGGAGGGGGAUAACUACUGGAAACGGUAGCUAAUACCGCAUCCCAUCAGAUGUGCCCAGAUGGGAUUAGCUAGUAGGUGGGGUAACGGCUCACCUAGGCGACGAUCCCUAGCGGGUCUGAGAGGAUGACCAGCAAAACUGGAACUGAGACACGGUCCAGACUCCGACGGGAGGCAGCAGUGGGGAAUAUGGCAAAAGGGACGAAGGCCGGAGGCAGCCAUGCCGCGUGGGUGAAGAGGGCCUUCGGGUUGUAAGGCACUUUAAGCGGGGAGGCGUUACCCGCAGAAGAAGCACCGGCUAACUCCGUGCCAGCAGCCGCGGUAAUUC